UGGGGAAUCUUGGACAAUGGGCGCAAGCCUGAUCCAGCCAUGCCGCGUGAGUGAAGAAGGCCUUCGGGUUGUAAAGCUCUUUUGUCAGGGACGAUAAUGACGGUACCUGAAGAAUAAGCCCCGGCAAACUUCGUGCCAGCAGCCGCGGUAAUACGAAGGGGGCUAGCGUUGUUCGGAAUUACUGGGCGUAAAGCGCACGUAGGCUGAUUGUUAAGUCAGGGGUGAAAUCCUGGGGCUCAACCCCAGAACUGCCUUUGAUACUGGCUGUCUCGAGGUCGAGAGAGGUUGGUGGAAUUCCUAGUGUAGAGGUGAAAUUCGUAGAUAUUAGGAAGAACACCAGUGGCGAAGGCGGCCAACUGGCUCGAUACUGACGCUGAGGUGCGAAAGCGUGGGGAGCAAACAGGAUUAGAUACCCCCGUAGUCCCUGAGCGGGCUGGCAAGGCGCAU
rnacentral:rRNA from 1 species